GAUGAACGCUGGCGGCGUGCCUAACACAUGCAAGUCGAGCGGAGUUUAUAAAGCUUGCUUUAUAAACUUAGCGGCGGACGGGUGAGUAACACGUGGGCAACCUACCCUGCACUAAGGGAUAACAAUUAGAAAUGAUUGCUAAUACCUUACGGGUUCACCAUCACGGCAUCGUGGGUGAACAAAGAUUUAUCGGUGUAGGAGGGGCCCGCGCCUGAUUAGCUAGUUGGUGGGGUAAAGGCCUACCAAGGCGACGAUCAGUAGCCGACCUGAGAGGGUGAUCGGCCACAUUGGGACUGAGACUCGGCCCAAACUCCUACGGGAGGCAGCAGUGAGGAAUAUUGCACAAUGGGGGAAACCCUGAUGCAGCAACGCCGCGUGAAGGAUGAAGGUUUUCGGAUCGUAAACUUCUAUCGAUGGGGAAGAAAAAAAUGACGGUACCCAAAUAAGAAGCCCCGGCUAACUACGUGCCAGCCGCCGCAGUAAGAC
rnacentral:rRNA from 1 species